CGACAGAUAAGUCAUCCUUACUGUCCCUCUACAGAACCGUACAUGAGAUUUUCACCUCAUACGGCUCCUCGUUCAAUUCUUUCGAAGGGAUCCUUUUCCUCGUUCGGGAGUCUCCGCCCUUCUUCCACUCCGUCCCGAAGACUAACUAAGACCAAUUGAGUCACGUUUUCAUGUUCUAAUUGAACACUUUCCAUUUAUGAUUAAAGGAGAGGGUUUGGUCAGGGGGAUGCAGAAAUAGUGCUUCAGGAUCCAUUGCGCGUCCAAGGCCUUUUGUUCUUCUUCGCAUCUGUUAUUUUGGCACAAGUUUUUUUGGUUCUCAAAAAGAAACAGUUUGAAAAGGUUCAAUUGUACGAAAUGAAUUUCUAGAUCCUGGGAUUUCUUACCAUCAAGUUAGAAAAAAGGUACAUAGAAUAUGUAUGGACAGUCUUUUCCAAUGCGAUAAAAUAAAGCAACAUCGUGUCUAUUUUUCUUUGCUAAAGGGGUAUUUCCAUGGGUUUGCCUUGGUAUCGUGUUCAUACUGUCGUAUUGAAUGAUCCGGGUCGAUUGCUUUCGGUGCAUAUAAUGCACACAGCUCUAGUUUCUGGUUGGGCUGGCUCGAUGGCUUUAUACGAAUUAGCGGUUUUUGAUCCCUCUGAUCCUGUUCUGGAUCCAAUGUGGAGACAAGGUAUGUUCGUCAUCCCCUUUAUGACUCAUUUAGGAAUAACGAAUUCGUGGGGUGGUUGGAGUAUUUCAGGAGGAACUGUAACGAAUCCGGGUAUUUGGAGUUAUGAAGGUGUGGCAGGUGCGCAUAUUGUGUUUUCUGGCUUGUGUUUCUUGGCAGCUAUCUGGCAUUGGGUAUAUUGGGACCUAGAAAUAUUCUGUGAUGAGCGGACGGGAAAACCUUCUUUGGAUUUGCCCAAGAUCUUUGGAAUUCAUUUAUUUCUUGCAGGGGUGGCUUGUUUUGGCUUUGGUGCAUUUCAUGUAACGGGUUUAUAUGGCCCUGGGAUAUGGUUGUCCGAUCCUUACGGACUAACUGGAAAAGUACAAGCUGUAAAUCCUGCGUGGGGUGCAGAAGGUUUUGAUCCUUUCGUUCCGGGAGGAAUAGCUUCGCAUCAUAUUGCUGCGGGUACUUUGGGCAUAUUAGCGGGCCUAUUCCAUCUAAGUGUCCGUCCGCCUCAACGUCUAUACAAAGGGUUACGUAUGGGCAAUAUUGAAACUGUACUUUCCAGUAGUAUCGCUGCUGUUUUUUUUGCUGCUUUCGUAGUUGCCGGAACUAUGUGGUAUGGAUCAGCAACUACCCCAAUCGAAUUAUUUGGGCCUACUCGUUAUCAGUGGGAUCAGGGAUACUUUCAGCAAGAAAUAUAUCGAAGAGUUAGCGAUGGGUUAGCCGAAAAUCUUAGUUUAUCAGAAGCUUGGUCUAAAAUUCCCGAAAAAUUAGCCUUUUAUGAUUAUAUUGGUAAUAAUCCAGCAAAGGGGAAAAACAUCUUUUGAGGAAUGGGCCAGACCCGGGCAUUUCUCAAGAACAAUAGCUAAGGGCCCCGACACUACCACUUGGAUCUGGAACCUACAUGCUGAUGCUGACGAUUUCGAUAGUCAUACCGGUGAUUUGGAGGAGAUCUCCCGAAAAGUCUUUAGUGCUCAUUUCGGCCAACUCUCCAUUAUCUUUCUUUGGUUGAGUGGCAUGUACUUCCACGGUGCCUGUUUUUCCAAUUAUGAAGCAUGGCUAAGCGAUCCUACUCACAUUGGACCCAGUGCUCAGGUAGUUUGGCCAAUAGUAGGACAAGAAAUUUUGAAUGGUGAUGUAGGCGGGGGUUUCCGAGGAAUCCAAAUAACCUCUGGUUUUUUUCAGAUUUGGCGAGCAUCCGGAAUAACUAGUGAAUUACAACUCUAUUGUACCGCAAUUGGUGCAUUGAUUUUUGCAUCGUUAAUGCUUUUUGCCGGUUGGUUCCAUUAUCACAAAGCCGCUCCCACCAUCAGCCACGGUAUUGGAUCGAUUUGCCUUGAAGAUAUGAAAUAAGAAAAAUCCAGAAUUUCUUCUUUGUGAUAAUAAUGCCAAAAAAUCUCAAGUUGGCUCAUCUGUCUUUCUUUCCCUUAUGUUGAUCAUUAGAGGCCUCUUGACUUUUCUCUUCCCUAUUUUUUAUUUAUUUUAUUUUUUAACUAGUCAAAAAAUAAAAUAAAAAUUUCUAGUGGUUUUCUUCCAAGAGAUGCCUGCUAAAAAUUGUUUGAAUCUCUCACCAAAACAGAUAAGAAGUAUAUCACUGAAAAUUACUAUCCAGCCAUAUGGGUAUAUGAAGAGCGCAAAUUCCUUUAUACCCCACCCAAUUAGAAUUAGGGGAAAUAAAACAUAAAUGUAGAAAGUUCUCAUCAUAAGAUCAGCCAAUAGAAGAAAAAAGUCCCUAAUUCUGCAGAACAUUCUGAGCACGUGAAAAGUGAAUAGCCUAAAGAUAAAAAAAAGUUUAUCAUUUUUUUAACAGCAGUUCUUAUUGCCCCUUUGGCCUUUUUGGCCCAUUGUUGUAUCCGAUUCAACAAUUGAUACAUAUUUGUUCUCCUCUAAAAAAAAGGAACUUCCGUUCCGAGCUUUGGUUUGGUGAGUCGUACGAGAGUUUAAAAAUAGUGAGUUAACUUAGUAAUGUUAGUAACCUUCCUUUGAGCCUCGACCAAAUAGACUUGUAGGUGGAAUGGCAAGGAACUAGUGCUCAUAAAUACAGUUAACUCUCCUUAACUCAAAUCAGCAGGGAACACUAACACUAAAGCAUUAUGUUUUAUGUGAGAAAUUCCAAAAAAAAAAUCAUCUAAACCUUUAUACAUGUGCCCGCACAUCAAUGCAGAUCUUUGUUUUAUACUAUGGUGGAAAUAUUAGCAUGUAUGCAAAUCAAAGUAAGUGUCAUCCUUAAUAACUGUGGACCCACUACAAAAUUUCCCUAGAAAUGAAAGUAGUGUGAAGUGUCAGUUGUUUUGUUUUGUUAAUUUAAAAACAAACAUAUGCCAGUUAGUUCUAUAGAUGCUUUGUAAGCUUUGUUUUCUUUUUUUAAAAAAUAUGUCAGGUUUCCUUCGUGACUCUUCCUGUUCACUAUAGUUAAAAAAAAAGAGGUUAUAGAAUUGCUUUUUUUUCGCUAAAAAAAAUUAAAACUUGUACCUCUACUUGAAUUAAUUGAACUGGAUUAGUCCACAAAAACUUCUAUUAGAACUAUAAGUUCCUAACUCCAUUUAGUCUGAUACAAUAAAGAUUUCGAAAAAGAACUACUAAUCCUUAACUUUUCGAGGAAUCCUUCAUCAGUGGUUGUGAAUGACUGACUUUUUCAAUCCUUUCGACCUUGGUUCCGUAGGAGCAAGUCAGAAAGGUUGAGAAAUAGAACCAUCUGAUUUGAUUCGUUCCCAAUAGCCAUGAGAUGAUCAUCUUAGGGUGAUCCUUUUGGGCUGUCUAUUCUCUAAUUCACCCGAUCCGAUAGUACCCGUUUUUGGAACGUCCAGUGCCAAAGUCACUGAAUGGGUAAGUCACCAAUCCAAUCCCUUUGACAAAUCGGGUGUCAUAUUAGAUAUCAUAUUCUAUAUAUAUAGAAAUAUCAUAGAAUAGACAUAUAGAAUUUUUGGUUGGGAAAUUCGAAUGAAUCAUUGAGUGAAAAAGGAGCAAAGAAUGACAAAAGAUGAGACUCUACUAGUCUUCACUCUUGUGGUUUCCUCGGAUCCCGAGCCGGUCUUAUCUUGGCUCGCAAACCCAAGUUUGUCUAUGAAGAGCUAAUCUAAUUGUAUUAGUUUCUAUAAUGGAUUUCUUAUGUGGAAUACUAAUGGAUAGGGCCUCGUUGCUAAGUGCUACAAGAUCUAGUGCACUGGAACUCGUGGUUAUGGACCCGAAUCCUUUAGUAUGGAACAUUGUCUUUUCCAAGUAAAAACCCCUAGUAUAUGAAAGAAUGAAAAGGUGCUUUCGUUCUUGUGGAAUAAGAAGCCCUCGUACCUUAAUGAAAGGAAAAUAGGAAUUUUUCGUUAGGUAUUUGACCAAAUAGGAUCGUCCAGUUCCUAUAGAACCUAUCACUAAAAUACCCGAUAGGGCUAAGCGGAACGAAAAGGGUUUUCCAUGAGAUGGUAAAUGAAAACGAUUAGCCCCACACGAGGUUUGGGAAUAAGUGAUUGUCUGAUAAUGAGCAAGGAAUAUACGUCUUUCUGCUAAAGAGGAUCUAUUAAACUCAUAAUUCAUUAGAUCCUUGUUAGCAAUGUCAACUAGGUAUCAUAAGUAAAUGGAUCUCGGUUGUUCAAUCCUUUGAUAACCAAGGUCAUUCUUUGCUAAAGAGAAAUGAUCACUAUGGGUCAGACUCAAUAGAAUUGGAUCCAUUCCAAAUAGCGAGAAUUAGGAUUCUUGAUCCCUCUCAAUCUCUCUUUCAAUUCGAGGAUCCAGAGAGGUUUUUUCAUAGUCAUCUCCGAAUAUUUGCCAUCUCCGAAUAUUUUCGAUUUCAUUUUUCUAUGAUAUGUCUUUCUAUAUGAAAAUUGGUUAUUUACGAUGUACGAUGAUCCCUGUUAAGCAUCCAUGGCUGAAUGGUUAAAGCGCCCAACUCAUAAUUGGUAAAUUUGCGGGUUCAAUUCCUGCUGGAUGCACGCGAACGGGAACGGUCUAUUGGAACUGGCUCUCUAUCCAUGGAAUCUCAUCCAUCAUCCAUACAUAACGAAUUGGUAUGGUAUAUUCAUACCAUAACAUAAGAACAAUAAGAACUCGAAUUCUUAUCGAUACUGGAACUCAGAGCAUAGGAGGGAAAGUCGAUUUAUGGAUGGAAUCAAAUACGCAGUAUUUACAGAAAAGAGUCUUCGUUUAUUGGGAAAGAAUCAAUAUACUUUUAAUGUCGAAUCGGGAUUCACUAAGACAGAAAUAAAGCAUUGGGUCGAACUCUUCUUUGGUGUUAAGGUAGUAGCUGUGAAUAGCCAUCUGUUGACACCGUUUUUGGGCGCGUGUCUAGGAUGGCAGGAUAAGGUGGCAGUACGAUGUUUACAAAGCGGGUUGCCGAUGAGGAUGGUGGCCGAUGAGGGAGAAGUUGAAUGUGACUAAGUCCACAGGCAGUAAUAUGGUGCCGAUGGCUAGAUAAGAAAGUCUGCCGAUGACUAUGGCAAAGGAUCUGCCGAUGAUGCAAAGGAGGAGUCUGGAAGCUGCCGGUCGUUAUGUGGAGGAGUUUCGGUUUGUCACGAGGGAUAGUUUUGUUAUUUCCUUAAUUAUUUGCAUUGUUUUGUAUACGGAUUCCGUGUAAUUUGGAGUUCGAAUUCUAAUCGUGUCUGGUUGUAGCUCUUUGAGCAGGGUAUAAAUAUAGACCCUAGGGCCUUGUAAUAAUCAAUCAAGAAAUCAAUCAAACACACGUUUUUACUCAUAUUCCAGCAUUUACUUUUCGACGACUUCAUCAUACUUUUUCCUUUUGUUACGAGUUCUUAGGAAUUCGUCGACUUAAGCUCAGCGUGUUCUCAAGUUCCGCGUGAGUACCUCUUAGCCGUGACAUCCGGGCGCAUCGCUGUUGUCAGGACUAAAGUAUUCGAGUUAUCACCUUUGCCGAUAGCAAGGUCAAAUCGGCUGGCACGCCUUAACGUUUGAAUCGGGUAUUAGCCCUUUGUGUUUGCAGAUCAGUUUUGCAUCAACACAUCUUUUGGCACGCUCGGUGGGACAAGAUUCAAGACCAAGAUCAACAUGUCGAUCUCUGACCUCGAUCAAGAGAACGUCAUCCCCGUGACGGAGGCCAACCUCAAGGAUGAGCAGAAGCAAGCUAUUGCCCAAGCCAUGGAAGAGUUCAAGCAGCAAUGCCUGAGGUCUUUCAGCAUAAACAGGAGCGGCGAAGUGGUCCAGAAAGAUGCACUGCCGGCACCACGGCAGGUUACCUUUGACGCCAAUCCUGGCAAGCUUCAAGAUAUGGUUGACAAUGCCAUCAAUCGAGCGUUGAUUAACCAAGCUGGUGUACUGUCUAAUACGGUUUUCAAUGCCGUGGCAAGAACUUUCAAGGAAGGACAAAUCCCACCAGAUUAUGUGGGCCCCUCCCAUCAUCAGCCAACGGCACCAGAGGUCACGGCUCCAUCGGCUGCCUUGACGAAUGCAAGUGCACAAUCUGCCGUCCCUCCAAGUACAUCGGGGACUACUGGUGCACUAUCUAUGCCGAUGGCAACCAACCCACAAAUUUCAGUUGGGCAGCAUAAACUGACAACAGAUAUGUUGGCAUCGGCAAUGUCAGGGUUGACUCUUCCUCCCAACUGGUGGGGUUACGGUAUGCCUCCAGAGUUGACGCCGGGAACAUCACAAAUAACUGACAUGAGCCUAUGACAUCGGCACCUCCCAAUGUGCCGGUGAACCAGAGUCCUCGGUAUACCACAACUACUACUGCAAGGCCUCACACUGGAAAUCCUCAAGAUUCAAUGUUCCAGAUGCCCAACGCAUCGGCAGAGUCAAUGCUGAUGCAACAGAGGCCUAUGGCCCAGUCGGGGUAUGUCAAUUCAACGACGGUACCCAAUUACCAAUCAUCGGCAGCACCUAUGCCGAUGAACGCUAAUAAUGGAUGGCUUGGACAACAAGCCUUUCCACAAUCGCCCCAACAGAGUUACCAGACUACAGGGUUCCAGCAAGGUCAGGUCUAUCCCGGGUUCCAAGGUCAGGGGAUUCCCAACCAGCCAAUGAAUUUUGGACAGCAACUCGGAGGACAACCAAUCGGUGGACAGCAGUUUGGUGGUCCGCAGAUUGGAGGACAGGUGAUCAAUACAAUGUUCCGCGCGGAUCACGUCCCCAACAGACACGUGGAGGUUCGCCACCAAGUACCAGAUCCGCAGCCGCCUCAUCGGCAAGAUGCCGAUGCAUAUUGGGCCGAUAAGAUUGCUAAAGUAAUGAGGGAACAAUUUGGGAUAAAACCCAAAGUCAACACUUAUUCUUAUCGGACACCGUAUCCUCCCGCGUAUGAUUUGAUCCCGCUUCCACAUCGGUACAAGGUACCGGAUUUUACAAAGUUUUCCGGACAGGACGACACGUCAACCAUGGAGCAUGUCAACAGGUUCAUUAUUCAAUGUGGAGAGGCUGGUAACAGGGACGAAUUGAGGGUUCGUCUAUUUUCAUCAUCAUUGUCUGGAUCGGCCUUUACUUGGUUCAUAUCGUUACCUCCCAACUCUGUAAUUACUUGGGCCGAUCUAGAGAAGCAAUUCCAGAAAUACUUCUUCUCGGGGGUUCAUGAGAAGAAGAUCACCGACUUGGUCAAGUUGAGACAACGUAAUGAUGAGUCGGUUGAGGGAUUUGUGCAGAGGAUACGAGAGGUCAAGAAUAAAUGCUAUAGCCUGGUUCUAGAUGAUCGGCAGCUAGCCGAUUUGGCUUUCCAGGGUUUGUUGCCACAUAUCAGGGAUAAGUAUGCCUCUCAGGAGUUCGAAAGUUUAAGUCAUUUGGUGCAGAGGAUUUCUGAUCAAGACAUCAAGCCUUUUGAGCCUAAGAGAGCAUGGAAUAAGAAAGUGUCAUUUGUCGAUGAAGCAACAAGCUCAGAUUCUGAUGAAGAACCAGUAAUCGGUUUGGCAGAGUGGGUAAAAAACAAGAAGCCGAUGUCUUGUCCUUUUGGGCAGAAGGAACCGGAGAAGUUUGCUUUUGACACCGCUAAGGCUGAUAGGAUAUUUGACUUUCUACUUCAGGAAGGUCAGAUCAAACUGUCACCUAACCAUGUGAUCCCAUCGGCAGAAGAGUUGAAGAGGAUGAGAUAUUGCAAGUGGCAUAAUGCAACUUCCCAUGACACCAACGAGUGCAAAGUAUUCAGACAGUAGCUGCAAUCGGCUAUAGAGUCAGGGAGAAUCAAGUUUGACAGUUCCAAGGCCCAGAAGCCGAUGAAGAUAGACCAACAUCCUUUCCCGACAAACAUGUUGGAUGCUAAGGGGAAGGCUAAGGUCUUAACAUCAGAGACAGCUGAGAAGAGUGCAUCGGUAGAUCCUCAGCAUCAAGUUACUACUGCCGAUGCAAGAAGUAAGGGCUUGGUCCAGGAAGGAACUAGCUCAGGAAGGCUUCCUCGAUCUGGUAUCGUCAUAACUCAUAGAAGGCCUCGAGAAAAAUGGCAACAACGGGAAGAUCGGUAUCGGCGCCAGCAGGAAGAUUAUCGACGGGAAGAAGAAAGACGCCGACAGGAGUGGAAUCGGCACAGGGAAAAGGAGAUUGCAACGUGAAAGGCAAGAAGAGCUAAACAAGGGAGAGAACUCUGGAAGUCGACAGCCGUCAGACACUAAGAGGGAAGGUCCAUCGGCAGGCGUCAACAUGGUCUUCAUGUUGCCGAUGGAGUUUCUUGCACCAGCCAGUGAUGAUGAGUUGGAAUUUUCUGAUCAGAUAGCUCAGUUGGCUCUGGAUCCGAUGACGGCUAUCUUUGAGAAACCGGCCGAUGACGAGAGGCAGCAUCUUAAAGCUCUGUUCCUCAAAGGAAGGGUUGAUGGGCAGCCAAUGACCAAGAUCCUAGUUGAUGGUGGAGCUGCUAUUAAUAUUAUGCCAUAUGCAGUAUAUCGGAAGCUUGGGAAAGGGGAUCAAGAUUUGACCAAGACCGAUAUGAUGCUCAAAGACUUUGAAGGAAACGUGUCUCCAGUCAAGGGGGCGAUAUGUGCAGAGUUGACCAUCGGCAGCAAAACCUUGCCGACAACUUUUUUCGUGAUCAGCGGAAAAGGUGCUUACAACUUAUUAUUGGGAAGAGAUUGGAUUCAUGCCAAUUGUUGUAUCCCAUCUACAAUGCAUCAAUGCUUGGUUCAGUGGGUAGGUGACAAGAUUGAGAUUGUCCCAGGAGAUUCUUCUUAUGUUAUCGCAUCGGCAGAAGCGGAUACUUACGAAAGGACCAGGUGCAUUUCAGGAGAAGUUUGGGAGAAAGAUUUUCUCAAAGUUGCCGAUUAUGAGAUUCCACCGAUCCAAGCAGUCGGUUCUGACGACGGUUUUUAAUGGAUAGAUUCGCCGAUGAUGGAAAAUUAGGCCAGGGAUUCACAUCGGCCGAUGAUUUGGUAGAAAUAGAUAUAGGUAGUGGUGAUAAGCCUAGGCCUACUUUUAUUAGUGCUAAGUUAGAUCCUGAGAGUAAGCAACAAUUGACUAGUUUGUUAAAGGAAUAUAAAGAUUGCUUUGCUUGGGAUUAUACCGAGAUGCCUGGUUUAGACCGAUCAAUUGUUGAACAUCGGUUACCCAUCAAGUCUGGAUUUCGGCCACAUCAGCAACCAGCCCGCCGAUGCAAUGCUAACAUUCUACCUGAUAUUAAGGCCGAAAUCACCAAACUUAUUGAAGCCAAGUUUAUUCGGCAGUGUCGGUAUGCCGAGUGGAUUUCCAAUGUUGUUCCGGUUUACAAGAAGAACGGGAAGCUUCGGGUGUGCAUUGAUUUCAGGAAUCUCAACAAAGCUACGCCGAUGGAUGGAUACCCAAUGCCUGUCGCCGAUCUACUGGUUGAUGCUGCGGCUGGUCAUCAGGUCAUCAGCUUCAUGGAUGGUAAUGCAGGUUACAAUCAAAUAUUCAUGGCGGAGGAAGAUAUUCCAAAGACCGCAUUCAGGUGUCCCGGUCAUGUUGGGCUGUUUGAAUGGAUAGUCAUGACUUUUGGGUUGAAGAAUGCUGGUGCUGCUUAUCAAAGGGCUAUGAAUUUUAUAUUUCAUGAGUUCAUUGGCAAGCUCGUAGAGAUUUAUAUUGAUGAUGUGGUGGUUAAGUCUGGAGAUUUCUCAAAGCAUCUUGCCGAUUUACAAAAAGUGUUAGAGUGCACAAGGAAGCAUGGAUUGAAGAUGAAUCCCAACAAGUGUGCAUUUGGUGUAUCGGCAGGGCAGUUUCUUGGUUUCAUGGUACAUCAGAGGGGUAUGGAAAUUAGUCGAAGAUCUAUUGAUGCCAUCAAUAAAAUAGUGGCCCCUACCAACAAACCGAGCUCCAAUCCUUGAUCGGCAAGGUAAAUUUUAUCAGAAGAUUUAUAUCGAAUUUGUCUGGUAGGAUUCGUGCUUUCAGUCCUCUUCUUAAAUUGAAAGCCGAUCAAGAGUUUAUUUGGGGAGAAGAACAGCAGUUGGCUCUGGAUGAAAUCAAGAAGUAUCUAGUAAAUCCUCUAGUUCUAGUUCCACCUCAACAAGGGAAGCCCUUCAGAUUGUAUUUAUCUACCGAUGGAUCGGUUAUCGGUUCAGCUUUAGUUCAAGAAUUUGAAGGGAAAGAAAGGGUAAUUUAUUAUUUGAGUAGGAGGUUGAUUGAUGCUGAAACCAGGUAUUCGGCCAUUGAGAAACUAUGCUUAUGCUUAUAUUUUUCAUGUAUCAAGCUGAGACAUUACCUGUUAUCGGCCGAAUGCACUGUUGUUUGCAAAGAUGACGUGGUCCGAUACAUGCUAUCUAUGCCGAUUAUGAGUGGUAGGAUCGGUAAAUGGAUUUUAGCGCUAUCGGAGUUCGAUUUGCGUUACGAAUCGGCUAAGGCAGUCAAAGGGCAGAUUAUGGCCGAUUUUGUGACUCAGCAUUGCGGUCUAGUGGAAACCUUGGAAAUUGUACCCUGGACGCUCUUCUUUGAUGGAUCUACCUGUGACCGGGGGGCAGGAAUCGACAUUGUAUUAGUCUCCCCUAAGGGGAGAAAGUAUGAGUUUUCCUUGCCGAUUGUUGCCACAUCAACAAAUAAUCAGGCUGAGUAUCAAGCUCUGAUCAAGGGAUUGGAGUUGUUAAGAGAAGUUCGUGCUGAUGCUGUUGAAAUAUUCGGGGAUUCUAUGUUGGUUAUAAAUCAAUUGGCCGGAAGCUAUGAAUGCCGAAGUGAAGUUCUCAUAACUUAUUUCGAGAGAAGUAUGCAACUGUUAAAGGAAUUCAAGGAUUUCCGAUUGGAGCAUGUUCCCCGAUUGCAUAAUGAAGACGCUAAUCGGUUAGCUCAGCAUGCCUCGGGAUAUCAGCCAAUGAUUAAUGCGACAUCGGCAGUCGGUGCCGGUGAUUGGAGGAAAGAAAUUAUUGAUUAUCUAAAAGAUCCAUCCAAAAAAGUUGAAAGACGGGUUCGAUUUCAAGCAACCAAGUAUGUGCUCCUUGAAAAUGAAUUGUAUUAUCGAACUAUCGACGGAAUUCUUCUCCGAUGCUUGGGUGAUGAUGAAGCUAGAAGUUUGAUGGGGGAAAUCCAUGAAGGAGUGUGUGGAGCGCAUCAGUCAGCUUUUAAGAUGAAGUGGAUGAUUCGAAGGAAUGGAUAUUUUUGGCCAACCAUACUUGAAGAUUGUUUUAAAUAUUUCAAGGGAUGUCAAGGUUGUCAAAAGUUUGGUAAUAUCCAGAGAGCACCCGCAUCGGCUAUGAAUCCUAUAAUAAAGCCUUGGCCGUUCCGGGGAUGGGCCAUCAAUCUGAUCGGCCAGAUUUAUCCACCAUCUAGCAAAGGGCAUAAGUUCAUUCUAGUUGCCACUGACUAUUUCACUAAGUGGGUUGAAGCUAUUCCUUUGAAGAAAGUCACAUCGGCCAAUAUGAUUGAUUUUGUGAAGGAGCAUAUUAUUUACUGAUUUGGGAUUCCCCAAACGAUUACUACCGAUCAGGGCACCAUGUUCACAUCGGGGGGGUUCGAUGAAUUCGCAAUCGGUAUGGGAAUUAAAGUGUUGAAUUCUUCUCCUUAUUAUGCUCAAGCCAAUGGGCAGGCCGAAGCGUCUAACAAAGGAAUUAUCAAGCUUAUUAAACGAAAGAUUGAAGAAAAUCCUAAGCGGUGGCAUACAUUAUUAAAUGAAGCAUUGUGGUCUUAUCGGAUGGCUUGUCAUGGAUCGACCAAGGUAUCACCCUAUCAAUUGGUGUAUGGACAUGAUGCAGUGUUGCCUUGGGAAAUUAAGGCUGGAUCUAGGCGAUUAUCUUUUCAAGAUCAAUUAACUUCCGAUGGUUAUGCCACUUUGAUGACCGAUGAAUUGGACGAUCUAGCAGGGCAUCGGUUAAAAGCUUUAAUGAGUAUAGAAGAAAAUAAGAAGAGAGUUGCUAGAUGGUAUGAUAAGAAAGUGAAGGCUAAAGAGUUUGCCGAUGGGGAUUUGGUAUGGAAAUUAAUUUUACCAAUUGGGACCAAAAGUUCGAAGUUUGGAAAGUGGUCUCCUAAUUGGGAGGGUCCUUAUCGGAUAAGUCGAUCGGUUCCUGGUAAUGCCUACAUUCUAGAAACCCUCGAAGGAAUUGAAUUUCCCAGAGCAUUAAACGGCAAAUAUUUAAAGAAGUACUACCCCAGUAUAUGGGUCGAUGCAUAGAAGUUUAGGUGCCGAUAACACUCCUAUCGGCUGGAUCCAAAUGCUUGGGGACAAGACUUGGUGUUUCAAAAGUUUAGGCGCCGAUAACAGUCCUAUCGGCUAGACUAAAAGCUGAGGAAGCAGGAAAGCGCAGAUACAAUGCCGAUGGAAACUCUAUGUGUUAAGCAGCGUCUGGAUUGCCGAUAUAGCGCGUAGCCGAAUUUGGUUGGCUGCUUCUAUCUCUUUGAUGUCAUCAUCGGCAGAACCUUCUAUCGGCUUCAGCUUCUUCUUCAGUUGGAGUGCUUUGCGACCAUGAGCAUUUCGCUCGCGCUCAAGAAGCCUGAUGGUCUCUGGCAAUUGGCUCUCUUCCUGUUGGGCUUGGGACAGAGCAUUCUCUACUUCCUUGAGCUCCGCCAACAGGGACUCUUUUCUUGCCGAUAGAUCGGAUAUCUUCUGCUUCAGCGCGUCUCCAGAAGAUCUCAGGAUACCGAUGUUCUUGUGCUUCUCAUCGGUCAAAAGCUUCUCUUUCCUCAUUUCAUCAGAGAGUUGAGUCUGAGCGGCUCUAUCGGCAAGCCGCCGAGAAGCUCUUUGGUACUGCAGCUGGCGACUCUCCAGAUGAGCGGCUUGGAACAGGAUUUCUUCAACAUCGGCUGGGAUUUGGCCUCUGAGAGUUCUGAACAGGGUCUUGGUAGGGUCGGAAUCAUCAACCAAUUGCGCUGUGUCCUGGUGAAGAAGAGCUGACGAUUCUUCCAGCCUGACCCUGACCUCUGCCGAUGUGAUGCCGACCGUCUGAGAAGUGCUUGCUUCUUCACCUUCUUCUUCAGAGAGAUCAAUGGCGAAGGAGAACAGGCUAUCAGGAGAAUCUUGUUCCUGGGAGGGAAAGCAAAAUUAGCUCAUACUUAGAGAAUCGACAAAUAGUGCUAACGGUAAACGGUGACUUACUUGCUUCAAGGCGAUCUCUUGUCCUUGACUGAGAAGUGCUGACGGAGCUGCAGGCUGAUCGGCCAAAGAUGCCGAUGGAGCUACAGGUUGAUCGGCUGAGAUUGCCGAUGGAACGAUAUCAACUGAAAGAAGACAAAAGGAGUUAUGAGGCUAGAUAAGAAUAAGUUCAUCGGUAGCGAUAUUGUUAAAGUAUGUUACCUGGAGGAGGGACAACGGUUGUCUGAAUCGGGAGAACUGCCGAUGGUAUAACUGGACCCACCGGGCCAGUUGUUUGUUCGCCCAUGUCAGCUGAUGUAUCUUCUGUUUGAGAUCCUUCCUGUUGGGGUUCUUCUAUCUGUGGUGCUUCCUGCAUAGGUGGGGGAGAUGGUGCUUGCUAUGGUUGGGCUUCUGGAGAAGAAGGAGAAGACUCCACCGGAAUUGGAGAUACCGGAGGAGGAGGGGGAGUUGCUACCUUCUGGCGCUUUGUUCCAGUCUUAGCACCCAUGGUGCCCUUUCUCUUGGGUUGGCUAGACUGGGGGGCAUCGGUACUCUCACACCUGGCUUUCGCCGAUGCGCCGGUUUGCUGCAAUAAUGAACAAGAGUUUAUAAGCAUAAAUAUAGCCGAUAUAAAGAUAGUCAGCAUAAAGGAAAAGAUUUGACAGAUUGCCUUGAAAGCCCGCGCAAGAGUGGGAGCAGCAACCGUUGGUGAUGUCUGAGUUCUUCUGGUGGUGACUUUCCUGAGGCGUACACCCCGAUGCACGAUGGAAGCUAGAGUGGGAGCAUUGUGGCCGAUUGAGGAAAUCGGGCCUGAUGGAAACAAGUCGAUCGGCCUGCCACUCCUGCUAACCAAUGGAGGAAUAUUGUCAACCUGCAAAAGGAAUACAAGGGUAAGCUGCCGAUGGGGGUAAUAUCGAGAAAAUGAAACGUUGGUUUGAGUUACUCACAGCGUCAUCGGGAACUUCGUAUUCGGAGUCAAUCAUGCCGCGGUAUGAAAGUGCCGAUUUGCAGAAUAGAUGCUCUUUCCAUUCUGCCCACCAUAACUUGUAUGCCUGAGUGAUAAAAGCAGCCGGAACCCAUUCUGACAGAUUUACAUCUAUAUCAGCGUUUGGUGGUAGUUGGGCUGCUCGAGUCCACUCAAGAAGGUUGUUGAUAGUUUCUCUGGGUUUUAUCACAUCGGCAUAAGGAAGUGCAAUCGGCAACUGGCCGAAAGCUAACUGGCGAGCUAAUGCCGAUGGAUUGUAAAAUUCGUAAGUUUGAGGGGAGGUUUUUGUGCUACCAAAGAAAUUCACUGGAAUGAUUCUGGGAGUCACAAUUGCCAUCAUCACCUCAUUGUCCCUGUCAAGAGCUUCAUCAAAUGGAUUGAAGGUCAGAGGGAGCAUGCUAUCUGGGUCAUCAUAAGCCAACCAUGGUCGUUCGUCUCUGGUCAAACCCUCAUACAGAGUCUGGAAGAAUCGGCCGAUCUGAUCUGGAUUACCCCCUGAACCAGGCAGAACUAUGACAGCUUCGCCGAAGUUCAAGGGGGUGCGUGUUGCCGAUUCCUCUUCACCCAAUACAUGGUUUUCAGCUAUAUCUCUUGGGAAACGCUGUGUGAACAGGUUGAAGUUGAGACGCUUGUGCAGAUGCAGAUUGAGCCACAUGUUGACAAACCACCAGGGGCCUCCCAAGUUGCCAAUGGAUUGGCCGAGCAGAAGUUUCUAGGCUACUUGAUGGAGAAGGUGGUAAGCAGCGCCAAGCAAGUAUCGGCCGAGAGGGAAUCGGCCACCGUUAGCCAGUCUUUCUGCUGCCGAUAGGUAGACAGAAGUUGGUCCUGCCGAUCGACCACAGAAUACAAACUUGUCCAGCCACAUAUUCAGAAAGGUGGUUUGUUCCUUUAUGGUGACAGAUCCUUUCCCACGGUACUUCUGAAUGUACCCCGACCAACCGCCGAUAGCGCGAGUCUCCACUUUGGCACUAGGGGCAGUAUCAAAAAAGUGGGUGCUAUCGGCAGAAGAUAUAUCUAGACCAGUAAGAAUGGCUACAUCGGCAAGAGUAGGAGAAGCAGGGCCGUGGCCAAAGGCAAAAGCAUUGAGGGUGUCUGACCAAAAGUAGGAUGCAGCUAUCAGCAGUGACUCGUUCCUAUGCAUAUCGGUAAUGGACAAUCUAAUGCAUUGGGCUAGAUUCCUUUCACCCCACUGAGCUUCAUUAGAGUUGCUGACCCUCAAGAACCAGUCUUUCCACCCUACAGUUGGGCUGGGCCAAGAGCGGAAGGUGUCCUUCCACAGAUCUAAGGAAAAAUUUUCGGCUCUGAAGGGGAUCCUGUUGGUUUCUGCGUUGAUAAGGUCAGUUGGAUCUGGGUCCCCUAGAGGGCCGAGGCAUUGAAGGUGUGGUUGAUCGGUGGGGAUGACAAUUUUGUUGGACAAUUCCUAGUGAUUUUGGGCGUAAAAAGAAAUACAAAGAGGAAAGAAAAGGAAGAUGUUCAGUAAAAUGAAUUGCGAGUGAACAGGGAUAUGAAGAAAAAUACAGAAGACGGGGUGGAGAUUUGACCUCAGGGACGACGAACCCGACGGCCAUCUUGCUGCGAAGGAAGCGUGUGAAGGCGCCGGAGUUGAUGAAGAGGGGUACUUGUCGGAGACCUUAGGAGUUUUUGGUGGCGCCGCCGCUGGAAAAGUAAAGUUGGGUAGUAGAAUGGUGUGAUGGGGAAGGAGUACCCAAGAAGGAACUAUUUAUAGGACAAGAUGGGCAAGGGCAAAUCCGACUUAUCUCUUUGCCGCAUCCGAGAAAUCCGAGGGUACUCAGGUGGAUAUGGUAACUGUUCGCACGGUAAUCCAGGGAUUGUGCAGGUGAUUUGACGGGAAGCGGUCAUUAUCUGAAGAUAUUUUACUGUGCGAGAUCUCCUGGUCGGUCCAUCGGCGAUAUUCUAUAACGGUCAUAUUGCCGAUGGGCGGAUAGAGGGGAAGUAACCGUUUUUGCGAAUAUCCUGGUCAGAACAUCGGCAGAUCUUUGUAACGGUAUUGUUGCCGAUGUACGACUGAGAAAAAUGCCCGUUUAGGAAGUUGGGGAUUUCGAGGAAUCUGCGGAGGAUUAGGAUCAGAGUUGUCCAGAUUGAGGUUGUCGGUUACCAGAUUAGGAGCAUUAAUUGCGGGAGGAAGCAUCAUUACUGCAGAGAAUUUCGGAGCAUUAAUAGUUUUAUACUCCGAAACUGGGGGGCAUGUGUUGACACCAUUUUUGGGCGCGUGUCUAGGAUGGCAGGAUAAGGUGGCAGUACGAUGUUUACAAAGCGGGUUGCCGAUGAGGAUGGUGGCCGAUGAGGGAGAAGUUGAAUGUGACUAAGUCCACAGGCAGUAAUAUGGUGCCGAUGGCUAGAUAAGAAAGUCUGCCGAUGACUAUGGCAAAGGAUUUGCCGAUGAUGCAAAGGAGGAGUCUGGAAGCUGCCGGUCGUUAUGUGGAGGAGUUUCGGUUUGUCACGAGGGAUAGUUUUGUUAUUUCCUUAAUUAUUUGCAUUGUUUUGUAUACGGAUUCCGUGUAAUUUGGAGUUCGAAUUCUAAUCGUGUCUGGUUGUAGCUCUUUGAGCAGGGUAUAAAUAUAGACCCUAGGGCCUUGUAAUAAUCAAUCAAGAAAUCAAUCAAACACACGUUUUUACUCAUAUUCCAGCAUUUACUUUUCGACGACUUCGUCAUACUUUUUCCUUUUGUUACGAGUUCUUAGGAAUUCGUCGACUUAAGCUCAGCGUGUUCUCAAGUUCCGCGUGAGUACCUCUUAGCCGUGACAUCCGGGCGCAUCGCUGUUGUCAGGACUAAAGUAUUCGAGUUAUCACCUUUGCCGAUAGCAAGGUCAAAUCGGCUGGCACGCCUUAACGUUUGAAUCGGGUAUUAGCCCUUUGUGUUUGCAGAUCAGUUUUGCAUCAACACCAUCGACUACCCGGAAAGGGUAGAAGAAUGGGACCUAUUCUAGGACAUACAAUGCAUUACAGACGUAUGAUCAUUACCCUUCAACCGGGUUAUUCUAUUCCACUUCUAGAUAGAGAAACGAACUAAAGGAGAAUACUUAAUAAUACGGCGAAACAUUUAUACAAAACACCUAUCCCGAGCACACGCAAGGGAACCGUAGACAGGCAAGUGAAAUCCAAUCCACGAAAUAAAUUGAUCCAUGGACGGCACCGUUGUGGUAAAGGUCGUAAUGCCAGAGGAAUCAUUACCGUAACAAUAGGACCUGGGGAUUUCUUGGUUCAUCAUGCUAUUGCUCUAGGUUUGCAUACAACUACAUUGAUUUUAGUAAAGGGUGCUUUAGAUGCACGCGGUUCCAAAUUAAUGCCGGAUAAAAAGGAUUUCGGGUAUAGUUUUCCUUGCGAUGGCCCAGGGCGCGGCGGUACUUGUGAUAUUUCUGCUUGGGACGCGUUUUAUUUGGCUGUUUUCUGGAUGUUAAAUACCAUCGGAUGGUUACUUUUUAUUGGCAUUGGAAACACAUUACAUUAUGGCAGGGCAACGUUUCACAAUUUAAUGAAUCCUCCACUUAUUUGAUGGUCGGGAGGAAGAACCGGUAAUAAGCACAAAACCAUCCAUUCUGGUUCUACAUUUGUUUGAAUAAAAUGUUUCGCCAAUUGCAUGCGUCUAAUCAAAAAAACUUUUCUUAUUCGUCUUUUUCUAUCUUCCCAUUCAUCUCCACUAUACCCCUCGUCUUCUAAUUCCUUCCAUUCUACCAAAGAAUUCUCUAUAAUAAUUCGCAAAUCUAAAUCCGCUAAUUGUUCUCUAAUAGCACCUGCUCCUGUUGCAAUUUCCCGAUUUCGAAAUGUUGCAAAGCCUGGGGUAGAAAAAAAGGGAGAAAUACUGUGGUUACAGGAUGAAAUUUCAUCCUCGAAUAAACCCCGUAAUCGUAAGAAAGUAGGUUUUUUAGCGCUGGGCCUAGCAAAAGAGAAAUCACCAUAUACUAGGCCCUCCAAUUUCUUAAGGGGUUUAUCUAAAAGAUUCGCAAUAUAACUAGGAAGACCUUUCAAAUACCACACAUGAGUCACUGGACAUGCUAGUUUGAUGUAUCCCAUUUGAUAUCUUCGUAUCCGAGAAUCAACAAAUUCUACCCCGCAUUUUUGACAAAAUCUUUCGUCUUCGUUUUCAGCUACGCUCGCUCGAGAGUUUCCACAAGCACAAAUUCCGCUUUUAUGGGUCCAAAGAUUCUUUCGCAAAACAAUCCAUCUUUUUCUGGUUUAUCGGUUUUAUAAUGAAAAGUGGAGGGCCUUGUGACUUCGCCAACGACUUCCCCAUUAGGUAGGAUUUUUUUAGCCCAAGCCUUUAUUUGUUUAGGGGAAACGAGUCCAAUUUGAAGUUGUUUAUGUUUAUAUUGGUCAAUCAUAAAAUAGAAAUAAUAAAAAAAUUUAUAUUUAUUCCGAUCAAACAUCCUCCCUAUUAACCCGGAAGUUCUUCUCAGAUACAAGGAAAUGGUUCAGUUCUAGAGCCAAAGAUCGUAGUUCUCGAACGAGCACUCGAAAAGAUUCUGGCGGAUCCUCGUCAAAUCCAAGUUGGUGAAGAUCAUGAUUUGGGCUGGCAUAGUAGUUAUUACCUUUGCAAUUGCGGUUCGAAUCUAUCCGAUCUUUAUCUUUUUGCUCAAAGAACGAAUAAAACCCCUUGUUGAAGCCCUUUAUGAUAAGCUUCCCUGGAUCUGGGAAGUUUCUCUUUCACGGUAUUGGGAUCGUUUGAUCGAUUUCCUUGAUCGCUACUUAUGGGCGUGCGCUCAAAGGAUACAAACAGGGAUUCACAAACAAAAAGGGGAAUUCGUAGUCACUUUUUCCUGUCGCGUAAAAAAAAGGCUUUACGCGAGAGCAAUAGAGGUUGGGAUACAUCUAUCUCUUCUGAGCAACCUCUUUUGGAUUCUUAAGACCACCCUUGCAGUAGGAUACCGUCUGCUUUAGGUUCUUUAUUAUCUCCUUCGAGGGGUUUUUAGGAUCAUUUGUCAAGUUUGAUCAGUACUAUAAUCCUAAGUAUUUUAUUGAUUAGGCGGCACCCAGAUUUGAACUGGGGGUAAAGGAUUUGCAGUCCCCUGCCUUACCACUUGGCCAUGCCGCCAAAAAAUCCGAUCUAAAAUCGAGAAAAGAGCAAGUAUUCAUCCACAUUUUUUUACUAAUUACUAAAAUUACUAAAACCUUUUUUUCUUUUAUCUUGAAUCUAAUUCUACUUACUUUCUUUUUUCGAAUCUUUUUCAAAAAAUCAAUUUCUGCUUUUUUGGAUCCAGUUUCGCUUAUUCUCCUCGAUGGAUUCUAUCUUAAAACACACAUUGCUAACACUAGAAAACUUCCCGUUUCUUUCUAUUCUAUUGAGAUGACAAAUAAGAAAAAGUCCCGUCGCUGUCUCGGCUGUGCUACCGGAGGCUCUAGGGAAGUCGGAGGAGAGAGCACUCAUCUUGGGGUGGGCUUACUACUUAUAUGCUUUCAGCAGUUAUCCUCUCCACACUUGGCUACCCAGCGUUUACCGUAGGCACGAUAACUGGUACACCCAGAGGUGCGUCCUUCCCGGUCCUCUCGUACUAAGGAAAGGUCCUCUCAAUGCUCUAAUGCCCACACCGGAAUAAUGGACCGAACUGUCUCACGACGUUCUGAUUAUCCGCAAAAAAUUACGGUAGAGCGUGUUAUGAGUGUCUACGCAGUGGACUUGAUUUUACCAAAGAUGAUGAAAACGUAAACUCACAACCAUUUAUGCGCUGGAGAGACCGUUUUGUCUUUUGUGCCGAAGCAAUUUAUAAAGCACAAGCCGAAACCGGUGAAAUCAAGGGGCAUUACUUGAAUGCGACUGCAGGUACAUGCGAAGAAAUGAUUAAGAGAGCUGUAUUUGCAAAGGAAUUAGGGGUUCCUAUUGUAAUGCAUGACUACUUAACAGGAGGAUUCACCGCAAAUACUACUUUGUCUCAUUAUUGCCGCGACAACGGCCUACUUCUUCACAUUCACCGAGCAAUGCAUGCAGUUAUUGAUAGACAGAAAAAUCAUGGUAUGCAUUUCCGUGUAUUAGCUAAAGCAUUGCGUAUGUCGGGGGGAGAUCA
rnacentral:lncRNA from 1 species